CCACUUGCCCCUCUCCCUCUCCAAUUGCUCGAUCCCGAGCUCGUCCGUCGCCAUGUCGUCCUCGCGGCCAUCGUCGCUUCCGUGCUGAGCUAGCAUGUCCGUGAGCUUCGCCAUGGACGACUUCUUCAUCAUCAUCAAGUGGACCGAGUUGGGACGCCGCAUCGCCGCUGUCUUCAUCAUUCCUCCCCGACUGCAUCCGCGGCUGCCGGCGCUCGAUCCACCGCCUUCACUGCGUCCCCAACCUCGUCGUCCCCUUCUAUGCGACCGUGGUGAGGCCCUCCUUCGAUCCCUCCUUCUUCCCCGUCGAUUCGGUCAUCGUAGGUGCCCUCCCCCGACCUUAGCCGCCGCGGUCGGAGCUUCUCUCCACGCGCGCCAUGGCCGCGCUCCCGGUGCCCUCUGACCGUCACCGGCUCGCCCCGGGCGCCCCGCCUGCCGUCGCCUUUGCACGUCCGCGCCCAUCCCUGCUGCUCUGCUGCAGCCUCGCUCAUCGCCCUCGCCUCUGCCGGCGCGCGCAACCGCCCGCCCGCUAGCAACCGCGCCUGGCCGCGCUGCUGCUGCUCUCUGCUGCUUCUCGCUGCCUGCUGAUGCUCCCGCUACUGCCUACUGCUGCGGUGCUGCUGCCGCUGCUGCCGUAGUUGCCCGCUGCCACUGAUGCUCGCUACUGCAUGCUGCUGCGCUGCUUGCCGUGGCCGCCAUGCACUCUGAUGUGUGCGUGCCCCGUGCACACCAGUGGCCGGCUUGGGCCAUGGCCGCUUGGGGCUAAGCCCCUGUUUUGUUUAGACUAGAUGAAAUUAAUGGUUAGAUUAGUCUAUUUACAGAUGACAUGCGGCCUUUUUUUAAUUAGGUUUGUUUUAUUUAUUUGUUUAGGUAAAGAGUAUAUGACAUCUGGGCCACACCUGCCCUUUAGACUAGUCAAAUUGACUUGGUCAACUUGAAUUAAAAGUAAUUUAGAAAAUCUAGAAUAUUGAUAAACUUUGAAAAUCAUAUAAAUUAAUCCGUCACUCGGAUGAAAAUGUUUUAUGCAUGAAAGUUGCUCAGAAAGACGAGACGAAUCCGAUUACGCGGUCCGUUCGUCCGCCACGCGUCCCUAGCAUAGCGAACAUGCAAUCGUCCCUCUCCGUUUCAUCUAUCCGAAAAUGCCAAAUUUCGGGAAAGCCUUCCGGAUGUUUUCCCGCUUCACCGGUAUCGUGUAGCACUGCGUUAGAACUCCCCUAGCAUCUCUUAUUGUCAUGUUAUGCAUCUAUGUGCUUUGUAUUUACUGUUUCUUCCCCCUCUUCUUCUCCGGUAGACCCUGAGACUGCUGUUGAUGCCCCGGUGAUCGUCUACAUAACCGACGACCCUUCUUCCCUUUCAGCGUAGCUUCCAGGCAAGCCCCUCCUUUGAUCAUCCCGAUAUCGCCCAUUCCAUUCUCUCAUGCUUGCAUUAGAUUUUGCUACAGUAAUUGAUUGCUCCUAUUCUGAUGCAUAGCCUGCUUUUGUACUUGCUUAUUGUUACCUACCUGCUUAUCCUAAACUGCUUAGUAUAGGUUGGUUAGUGAUCCAUUAGUGACCCCAACCUUGUCCUUGUUGCCCCUGCUUCAUCAUCGACGACUCGAUCAACGUGAUCGACGACCAGAGCCCGACACCUCACAUCACAUCACGCCCCUUUUGUUGCUCGACUCUGCAGAGUUACCAUCGAGUGCCGAGGGUGGUACCUCAUACAUCACUCCUGAUGAGAUCUCUGUAGUGUACCUAUUCGGUCGUGGUCAUCGAGGGUGGUUCCUCCUUCACCAUUCCCGAUACGACUCUGUCGUGCAACCCCUCAAGUGUGAACCUCGAGGGUAGUUCCUCUUACGUUCACCUUGAUGAUUACAUCGAGUGGAAUCCACCGUGGGUGAUUCCUCGGGGUUUCUCCUUUGAUGUUUGGACAAACGGUUACCUUGACUUUACUUGAGACCUUUGUGAUAGUCGGGCGGGCCCGGAGAGCACCCGAGGAGAUACGGUGGCGGGUAGCUGUUUAGCGGUAUCACCCAGGAGGGGGUGAUAGCUCCGGACUUGUCCCGACAGCCGUCACAUCUUUUUAAUAAUGCACUAACAGGUUUGGAUAUUUGUUCUGAGUUGGCCUUUGGCCUUUACGCACUAACCACCACGCGAGAAUAGUUAUGGGCCUCGACGUCGCAAUAUCAGCCGAAGCUUUGUCAGACGUCCAUUUCAGCAGUGCGGCACGGUCGGAUCGUGCUGGUCAUCCGAGGCGGUGCUGGUAUUCACCCUGCGCGCAACGACCCAGAGUGCUACGGGCGAUGGGCCCAAGACCCCGGAGUGCUUAGGAUGUAGACCGGCGGGGACCUCUUGAUACGUCUCCAACGUAUCUAUAAUUUUUUAUUGUUCCAUGCUAUUAUAUUACCCGUUUUGGAUGUUUAUGGGCUUUACUUUACACUUUUAUAUCAUUUUUGGGACUAACCUACUAACCGGAGGCCCGGCCCAAAUUGCUGUUUUUUUGCCUAUUUCAGUGUUUCGAAGAAAAGGAAUAUCAAACGGAGUCCAAACGGAAUGAAACCUUCGGGAGCGAUCUUUUUGGAACAAACGCAAUCCAGGAGACUUGGAGUGGACGUCAAGAAACAGCCGAGGCGGCCACGAGGGUGCCAGGCGCGCCCCCACCCUCGUGGGCCCCUCGUGGCUCCACCGGCCUACUUCUUCCUCCUAUAUAUAUCUACGUACCCCAAAAACAUCUAGGAGCACCACGAAACCCUAUUUCCACUGCCGCAACCUCCUGUAUCCACGGGAUCCCAUCUUGGGGUCUUUUCUGGCGCUCCGUUGGAGGGGGAAUCGAUCACGGAGGGCUUCUACAUCAUCGCCAAGGCCUCUUCGAUGAGUUGUGAGUAGUUUACCACAGACCUUCGGGUCCAUAGUUAUUAGCUAGAUGGCUUCUUCUCUCUCUUUGAAUCUCAAUACAAAGUUCUCCUCGAUCUUCUUAGAGAUCUAUUUGAUGUAACUCUGUUUGCGGUGUGUUUGUCGAGAUCCGAUGAAUUGUGGGUUUAUGAUCAAGUUUAUCUAUGAGAAAUAUUUGAAUCUCCUCUGAAUUCUUUUAUGUAUGAUUUAUUAUCUUU
rnacentral:lncRNA from 1 species